rnacentral:rRNA from 1 species
AGAGUUUGAUCCUGGCUCAGGAUGAACGCUAGCUACAGGCUUAACACAUGCAAGUCGAGGGGCAGCAUGGUCUUAGCUUGCUAAGGCCGAUGGCGACCGGCGCACGGGUGAGUAACACGUAUCCAACCUGCCGUCUACUCUUGGACAGCCUUCUGAAAGGAAGAUUAAUACAAGAUGGCAUCAUGAGUCCGCAUGUUCACAUGAUUAAAGGUAUUCCGGUAGACGAUGGGGAUGCGUUCCAUUAGAUAGUAGGCGGGGUAACGGCCCACCUAGUCUUCGAUGGAUAGGGGUUCUGAGAGGAAGGUCCCCCACAUUGGAACUGAGACACGGUCCAAACUCCUACGGGAGGCAGCAGUGAGGAAUAUUGGUCAAUGGCGAGAGCCUGAACCAGCCAAGUAGCGUGAAGGAUGACUGCCCUAUGGGUUGUAAACUUCUUUUAUAAAGGAAUAAAGUCGGGUAUGCAUACCCGUUUGCAUGUACUUUAUGAAUAAGGAUCGGCUAACUCCGUGCCAGCAGCCGCGGUAAUACGGAGGAUCCGAGCGUUAUCCGGAUUUAUUGGGUUUAAAGGGAGCGUAGAUGGAUGUUUAAGUCAGUUGUGAAAGUUUGCGGCUCAACCGUAAAAUUGCAGUUGAUACUGGAUAUAUUGAGUGCAGUUGAGGCAGGCGGAAUUCGUGGUGUAGCGGUGAAAUGCUUAGAUAUCACGAAGAACUCCGAUUGCGAAGGCAGCCUGCUAAGCUGCAACUGACAUUGAGGCUCGAAAGUGUGGGUAUCAAACAGGAUUAGAUACCCUGGUAGUCCACACGGUAAACGAUGAAUACUCGCUGUUUGCGAUAUACAGCAAGCGGCCAAGCGAAAGCGUUAAGUAUUCCACCUGGGGAGUACGCCGGCAACGGUGAAACUCAAAGGAAUUGACGGGGGCCCGCACAAGCGGAGGAACAUGUGGUUUAAUUCGAUGAUACGCGAGGAACCUUACCCGGGCUUAAAUUGCAGAUGAAUUACGGUGAAAGCCGUAAGCCGCAAGGCAUCUGUGAAGGUGCUGCAUGGUUGUCGUCAGCUCGUGCCGUGAGGUGUCGGCUUAAGUGCCAUAACGAGCGCAACCCUUGUUGUCAGUUACUAACAGGUCAUGCUGAGGACUCUGACAAGACUGCCAUCGUAAGAUGUGAGGAAGGUGGGGAUGACGUCAAAUCAGCACGGCCCUUACGUCCGGGGCUACACACGUGUUACAAUGGGGGGUACAGAGGGCCGCUACCACGCGAGUGGAUGCCAAUCCCCAAAACCUCUCUCAGUUCGGACUGGAGUCUGCAACCCGACUCCACGAAGCUGGAUUCGCUAGUAAUCGCGCAUCAGCCACGGCGCGGUGAAUACGUUCCCGGGCCUUGUACACACCGCCCGUCAAGCCAUGGGAGCCGGGGGUACCUGAAGUGCGUAACCGCGAGGAGCGCCCUAGGGUAAAACUGGUGACUGGGGCUAAGUCGUAACAAGGUA